rnacentral:rRNA from 1 species
AGUGAACGCUGGCGGUAGGCCUAACACAUGCAAGUCGAACGGCAGCACAGUAAGAGCUUGCUCUUACGGGUGGCGAGUGGCGGACGGGUGAGGAAUACAUCGGAAUCUACUUUUUCGUGGGGGAUAACGUAGGGAAACUUACGCUAAUACCGCAUACGACCUACGGGUGAAAGCAGGGGAUCUUCGGACCUUGCGCGAUUGACUGAGCCGAUGUCGGAUUAGCUAGUUGGCGGGGUAAAGGCCCACCAAGGCGACGAUCCGUAGCUGGUCUGAGAGGAUGAUCAGCCACACUGGAACUGAGACACGGUCCAGACUCCUACGGGAGGCAGCAGUGGGGAAUAUUGGACAAUGGGCGCAAGCCUGAUCCAGCCAUACCGCGUGGGUGAAGAAGGCCUUCGGGUUGUAAAGCCCUUUUGUUGGGAAAGAAAAGCAGCAGGUUAAUACCCCGCUGUUCUGACGGUACCCAAAGAAUAAGCACCGGCUAACUUCGU